AUUGAACGCUGGCGGCAUGCCUUACACAUGCAAGUCGAACGGUAACGCAGGGCAACCUGGCGACGAGUGGCGAACGGGUGAGUAAUGCAUCGGAACGUGCCCAGUAGUGGGGGAUAGCCCGGCGAAAGCCGGAUUAAUACCGCAUACGACCUACGGGUGAAAGCGGGGGACCGUAAGGCCCCGCGCUCUUGGAGCGGCCGAUGUCAGAUUAGGUUGUUGGUGGGGUAAAAGCCUACCAAGCCGACGAUCUGUAGCUGGUCUGAGAGGACGACCAGCCACACUGGGACUGAGACACGGCCCAGACUCCUACGGGAGGCAGCAGUGGGGAAUUUUGGACAAUGGGGGCAACCCUGAUCCAGCCAUGCCGCGUGCGGGAAGAAGGCCUUCGGGUUGUAAACCGCUUUUGUCAGGGAAGAAACGCUCUGGGCUAAUACCCCGGGGUAAUGACGGUACCUGAAGAAUAAGCACCGGCUAACUACGUGCCAGCAGCCGCCGUAAUAC
rnacentral:rRNA from 1 species